rnacentral:rRNA from 1 species
GACGAACGCUGGCGGCGUGCUUAACGCAUGCAAGUCGAACGGUAAGGCCCCUCGGGGUACACGAGUGGCGAACGGGUGAGUAACACGUGGGUGAUCUGCCCUGCACUUCGGGAUAAGCCUGGGAAACUGGGUCUAAUACCGGAUAGGACCCUGGGAUGCAUGUCCUGGGGUGGAAAGCUUUUGCGGUGUGGGAUGGGCCCGCGGCCUAUCAGCUUGUUGGUGGGGUGAUGGCCUACCAAGGCGACGACGGGUAGCCGGCCUGAGAGGGUGACCGGCCACACUGGGACUGAGAUACGGCCCAGACUCCUACGGGAGGCAGCAGUGGGGAAUAUUGCACAAUGGGCGCAAGCCUGAUGCAGCGACGCCGCGUGAGGGAUGACGGCCUUCGGGUUGUAAACCUCUCUCAGCACCGACGAAGCGCAAGUGACGGUAGGUGCAGAAGAAGGACCGGCCAACUACGUGCCAGCAGCCGCAGUAA